UACGUUAGCCAAUGAUGAACAACACCAUGCAUAAACUAUGUUAAUUUGUUAGUCAAUUGCAUAAUAUUUAUGAAAGCUCUAAAUUUUCAUGGAGGUAUGAGGUCGCCGAACUCUAGUUUACAUAUAGGAUCACCUACGUGACCUUCUUCAUCUUGUAUUUUCCAUUUGUUGAAUUUCUCACCACAUGGUAAAAUUUGAUAAAGUAGUUUGUAAUUAAGCUCAGCUAUUUGUGUUUCUUUACAUGAAGUUGUGCCUAGCAUUUUCCAAAUCUUCUUCCAAUUAAGUGAGCAUAUAUCAAAAUGUGUCUGCCAUUUCUGUUGGCAGUUUGGAACUAUAAAUAUUUGUAACAUAAGGUUUCGGUAUAUCACCGAAGUUUUUGGAAAAUCUAAGGCUAAGGCUGGUGUUUCUAACGUUUCUCUUUCGAUACAACAAUUUUUACGACUGCACUAAGUUACAAGAUUACAUUACUGCUAUGUACAAAUGGAGUCAUUUCAUCCUUCCAAAUGCAAACUGUUACGCCUGACCCGUUCUAAGAAGCCAAUCCUGUACACUGUACAUAUCAUAUAUCUGACUCUGUUGUAGCCUCUGUUACAAGUAUGGGUUUAUUGUGCGGCCAGAUCUGCUGUGGGACAACCACAUUGUUAAAAUGGUAGCUAAGGCGAACUCCGUCCUGGGUUUCAUCAAACGCACACCGAUGUCCGUAAGGCACUGUACACCACAUUGGUCAGAAGCAUCCUAGAAUACAGUUCUCCAUUGUGGUCUCCCCAGUCUAGGAAACUCAUGUCCUUAGUAGAGGGAGUGCAUGCAGCGCCGAGCUACUAAAUUAAUUUUAGGACCCCAGUUACAGAAUGAAAGACUGACAGCACUACAACUGCUACCACUCACGUACAGGUGGGAGGUGUGUGACAUUAUGCUUUUUGUUAAAUCGAGGUCAACUGUGGAGAAAUAUGUGUCAUUUCCCACAAGGCCGACUAGAAGUAUUAGAUCCUUCAUGCUUACUCCUAUUAGAUCUAAGACCUCAGCGUUCCAUCACUCCUACAUUCCUAGACUGGUAACAAUCUGGACCUUGUUGGCUCCUGGCCUCCGUUGUAUCGGACAGCUAGCAGCCAAUCAGUCUGAUGCUUUAGCAUUAAAGCACAAGUUGGUAAAGUCUGCCUAUGACAAACUCAGUUUACAAUACAGUCUUGACCAACCUUGCACUUGGUCCACUUCUUGUGGGUGUGGCUCAUGUGUGGCUUUGAGGCCGCGCUAGGCAAUAGUUUUAUAAGUAGUGCUACACAGAUCAUGCUUUCCAUAUAUAUAUAUGACCUGUAUUAUGACCUGUAUUGUAUGUAUUGAUGUUGUUGCUUGUAUGUUAUUGAUUUGUAUGUACUGUUAUUUUGAUGUGUGGGAGGGCAACUUGUAAAGGUUGUUCGAACCUGUUUUGCCCUCCCAAACACUGUGUGAUGAAUUCAAAUAAGCAAUAAUACUCUAUCUCAUGUGCAAUUUCUGUAUCCUGUCUUUUAGUCGGCAAAAUGGAAUGUCAGAGAAUAGAAUUGACAUUUCAGAACUCGGACUGACAUUUAAUUGCUUGGAUAGAUAAAAUUCAUUUUUCCAAAGGAAGAAACAACUAUUGGAAAAACUUCUAUUUACCUUUUCCAUGCUAUUGACGUAGGAUUACGUCGAUAUUCAAGGGAUAGUUAGUCUUCCGUUUAAACAUCAUUAACUGAAUGCAUGCUUUCAUAUUUGGGGUUGCACUUUUGUAAUUAUUCAAAAUGUUUUGUGAAAAGAACACUGAGCUAGGCAUUAAAGGAAAGCUCAAACAACAAUGAAAAUAAAUGACAAUGUAUUUAGCCAUUUUCUAGACGGAAUGCCGAGCAGCCCUCGACCGCUAUCACGUACAGUCGAGACGCAAUGACGUGAAAAAACUUCACAAAGGACGUGGACAUGGUAAAAAGAUUAUAUCUAAUUAUCCCCUGUGUUCGCCACUACCUUGUGUCGGUGACGAUGAAGAGAUAUACGGAAGAGCUUGUUUUAAAGCUGGAGUAUGAGUUGAUAUGCAAAUAAAGAACACCAACUAAAUCAUUCAUGAUGCAUUAACUCGUGUAUCCUAUUUCGCAGGUGGCACGUACCUACCCAAAUUUACCAUGGAUGAGGAUCCGACAAGAUGUUGCAACGUGCUGAAAGCACAGAACGUAUGACGAGACCACAAGGAAGGAGAAUGGCAAAAGCAUCGGCUUCAACUGCAGCUAUAGCACCAAAUGUUCGUCUGUCCAUGCCAGAUGGGACAGUUCUUGGGAAGGCCCGGGAACGGGAGAGGCGUUGAAACAUUGUCUCUCUCACCCUCCUCGAACUGAGCCCAGCAGGGAGGGAACACCCUGCGUUCGGGGACAGUGAACAGGUACCCCGAGACAUGACUAUCGAUAACGCCAUAUACAACGUGCAGGUUUACCCACUUGCGAGCACGUCUUCAUAAUUCUUUAUUAUCGUUUAUUUUGGUUUCAUUUUCUUACUAUUUUUUUCUGUUGUGAUCUGUAACUGAAAGUUUGGGCUUCUCAGUGAGUUGUGUGGAACUGGAGGAAGCGUUAUUGUGUGUAGAUUUGGACAUGAAUAACUCUAGUUAAUGUAUCAUGAUUUUUGGUGAAAAAGCCCUGUUAGACUACUAUAUAUUGAAAAAAAAGAUGCAGAGGGUUUAUGUCAAAAUAUAAGCUUCAAUGUGGUACCUUAAUUCUAUUGAUUGUAUCAAUCAUUUCUAAAAUAGAUUUGUCUCAAAAUUUGAUUUUACAUUUCAUAAGUGUGCACUGCAUAGAAGUUAUUGCUAUGAGAAAUCAUUUCAAGGAUACACAAUAAAAACUUGAAUAUGACCAUAAUUUAUCUAAUUUAUUAAUGUGAAGGGAGAAAAAAAACUGAUUUCUUGAAUCAAAUGUAAUGUUCUAUGAACAAUAAAAAUGCAACUAGAAAGUUUUUAUUACAAAUACAA